rnacentral:rRNA from 1 species
GUGGGGAAUAUUGGACAAUGGGCGAAAGCCUGAUCCAGCCAUGUCGCGUGUGUGAAGAAGGUCUUCGGAUUGUAAAGCACUUUAAGUUGGGAGGAAGGGCAGUAAGUUAAUACCUUGCUGUUUUGACGUUACCGACAGAAUAAGCACCGGCUAACUUCGUGCCAGCAGCCGCGGUAAUACGAAGGGUGCAAGCGUUAAUCGGAAUUACUGGGCGUAAAGCGCGCGUAGGUGGUUUUGUAAGUUGGAGGUGAAAUCCCCGGGCUCAACCUGGGAACUGCCUCCAAAACUGCAUGACUAGAGUACGGUAGAGGGUAGUGGAAUUUCCUGUGUAGCGGUGAAAUGCGUAGAUAUAGGAAGGAACACCAGUGGCGAAGGCGACUACCUGGACUGAUACUGACACUGAGGUGCGAAAGCGUGGGGAGCAAACAGGAUUAGAAACCCCGGUAGUCC